GCUGGGCAUGGUGGCUCAUGCCUGUAAUCCUAGCACUUUGGGAAGCCGAGGCGGGCGGAUCACCUGAGGCCAGGAGUUUAAGACCAGCCUGGCCAACAUGGUGAAACCCCGUCUCUA
rnacentral:SRP_RNA from 2 species